rnacentral:rRNA from 1 species
GGGGAAUUUUCCGCAAUGGGCGAAAGCCUGACGGAGCAAGACCGCGUGGGGGAGGAAGGUCUAUUGAUUGUAAACCCCUUUUCUAAGGAAAGAAAAAAAUGACGGUACCUUAGGAAUAAGCAUCGGCUAACUCUGUGCCAGCAGCCGCGGUAAUACAGAGGAUGCAAGCGUUAUCCGGAAUUAUUGGGCGUAAAGAGUCCGUAGGGGGCAUUCCAAGUCUGUCGUUAAAGACCGCAGCUUAACUGCGGGAAGGCGAUGGAAACUGGGAAGCUAGAGAGCAGUAGGGGCAGAGGGAAUUUCCAGUGUAGCGGUGAAAUGCGUAGAG